UUCGUGCCGUUAAUUUGCAGGUAACCCAGAUUGAUGCCGUCGAUUUCCUGAUAACCAGCUUGGAAAUCUCCAUUGUAAUCCAUUGAAGUGGCAGCGGAAGCCGCAGCUGGAGCCAUCCCGCAGAGCCGAUGAGGGGAGGGGAGGAAGUGAAGGGCCUGUCUUUUUUUUUUUUUUUUCAGAAGUGAGAAGAUCCCUGAUGUUUUUUUGUUUUCCUGGGAAGCUGGAGUUGUAAACUGCUUUAAUUUUGCAAGCAGCCUGAAGAAGUGGAGUGGCGCCAAUUUACUUGCUGGGCACAAUUCCUUGGGAAACUCUUCUCCUCAAGGAUUGUUUAUCCCUUUUAUGCUUGAAAAAGUGUUUUCAGAAGAAAGUUGUCAAAGUCUGCUUCUUUUUCAACCUGAAAAUUUGCACAAGAGGACAGUAAUAUACCAAACAUCACUUGGCACUGUAUGCUAUACAAUAAAGAAAAGAAAAAGAAGAAAUAUCCCCGCUCUAAGCAAUUUUCAACAUAGCAUUUUACAGUGGGAAGGGGCAGGAGCAAAUCUUUUUUCUGCUUCACUACAAUUCAUUAUGCACUUGAGAAAUACUCUGUACCAAGUCCCUGAAGAGAAUUAAAGGAAAAAACAAUAAAUAAUUGUGCUUCUGUGAAAUGCUUUAUGUCAUAAUCAAAUCAGUUUCCUAUUUCAGGAGAGAUAUGUUUAUGGAGGAAACGAAACAUACAUUAAAAAAAAAAACUACUGUGACCUGUUUCCAACCUGUUUCCAUCUUACAUGUUUUUCUGGGAAUUUUGUUUUUAUUUUUUUCAUUUAUAUUUUCCCCAAUAGUUGUUUUGUAGGAAUAGCUUUAUUGUCCACCACCCAUACUAACAUAAUUAUCUCCUUUCAAAAGAAUGAGUUUGUACAUUUCCAAGGAAAAAUAUUCAUGCAUCAAUCUUCAGGACAGGGGUAAAAGGAACUGUACCAUAUUUCUGCCUUCCUUUGACAUUUUCCAUAUUCUACAGUGAUUUGUUUCUCAGCUUUUUAAAAAAUUGACUCUUUCCUAAGAAAAGUAACAUUUAUUUUUGCAAGAGAAGACUUGCAAAUUUGAUGUCAGAUGAGAAGGGAAUGAUUAUGGAAGCAAUCAUCUAAAGCAUAUUAUUUGAGGUGAUUAAGAAAUAAUUAUUGUUCCUUAUCUGACUAAUAAGAAAAUUCUCACAUCAUUUUUCAACUUUUUCCUAUCAAAAUUGUAUUCACAAGAGUCAUUUGGGUUGCAAAUAUCAUUCACUUCAGAGAGUUAUUUCUGAUUAGAAUUGUAUAAGUUUUCUUUGUCACAGCUUAAUUUUGUAUUUAUGUCCUCAGAAAUAAAAUUUAUUCUUCCAAAUAAAUGGCAGGAUUAAGACAUUCAUUUCUCUAUUUUAAUAUUUUCUAUAUAUCUAUCUGGAUUCUUUUUAAUUGAAUAGAUGAUAUAUGUUCAGUUUUAAAGACAAUUUCUAUUUUUGUGUACUCCAUUACACAAUUUGUUAUUUUAAAGUAUUUUACAUUAGCAUUCUUAAGCUGGUGCCUGGACUUAGAAUUUAUAGUCCAAGUACAUUUAAAAAAAGAUCCUAUGUUGGGGUAAUAUUUUUUAAGAUCUUUU